rnacentral:rRNA from 1 species
UACGUAGGGACCAAGCGUUGUUCGGAUUUACUGGGCGUAAAGGGCGCGUAGGCGGCAAUUCAAGUCAGCUGUGAAAUCUCUGGGCUUAACCCAGAACGGCCAGCUGAUACUGCUUUGCUAGAGUGCAGAAGGGGCAAUCGGAAUUCCUGGUGUAGCGGUGAAAUGCGCAGAUAUCAGGAGGAACACCGGUGGCGAAGGCGGGUCUCUGGGCCGAAAUUGACGCUGAGGAGCGAAAGCGUGGGGAGCAAACAGG